rnacentral:lncRNA from 1 species
UGGCUGUUUAGUGGCUGUAUAGCGGUAGCUGUAAUGAGUGAUUACGAACGUGAGAUUGACGAAUAACGGUUGUAGAGUAAAUGCACUGCUGAAAGCUGCAGCUCCUGAUAACACGGUUGAUGGUAACGUGACGAUGACUUGAUUAAUUGGGUUGGUAGGAAAUAAAGGGCAAAGCAUGAGGCCCAAACAUAUCUGGACUGGUAUGUAGCAGCAUUGGUUCAGGGAGGCGUGCGACUUCAGGCCAGACAGGAUAAAUGAGAAUUUGGCAGUACGUCCAACCUGCCUCACAACCGCAGACCACGUGUAACCACUCCAGCCCAGGACCUCCACAUCUGACUUCUUCACCUACGUGAGCAUCUGAGAUCAGCCACCCGGACAUCUGAUGAAACUGACAAUUAUUUCUGUCUGUAAUAAAGCCCUUUUGUGAGGAAAGCACUCAUUCUGAUUGUCAGGUCCUAACUCCCCAGUGGGUGGGCCUAUGCCCUCUCGGGCCUAUGCCCCCCCAUGCCCACCCAUGGCGGUGCCCCUGCC